UAACACAUGAUGCUAAAUAGUCACUGAUUCUAAAGCUUAUGCUCUAUUUUUGAGAAAGCUUAUGGAAAUUAAAAGGAUGUUCGCUUUUGCGAGGCAUUUGUCUGAUGUUUAA
rfam:Lucilia cuprina strain LS Scaffold14, whole genome shotgun sequence.